AUGAAUCCCCUUCCCAUACACACAAUCAUCUGCGUUGUUUGUUGGUCAUAUUGGUUAUCCCCAUUCUGUGCACUUUCAUCAUCCAGCAGCCGCCUUCUUCCCGACAAACCGCUUUCAUCAUCCAGCAGCCGCCUUCUUCCCGACAAAACGCUUUCUGCUGGAAGCACCAUCACCUCCCACGACGGCACUUUUGCCCUGGGAUUCUUCCCCCCGUCCAGCUCUGGCACAAAACAUUACUACGUCGGCAUAUGGUACAAGAACAUACCCCAAGAUAACAUUGUGUGGGUUGCCAACCGUGCUAUGCCGAUCGCUGAUCCUUCUUCUGCAACACUCGCCUUCACAAACAGAUCCAAUCUCGCCUUGUCAGACACCAAUGGCCAGCUUUUCUGGACGACAAACAUCAGUGCUGCAGGAAAUUCAUUGUCAGAGGCAACUGGUGGAGAAGCCACGCUUGAGAACAAUGGGAAUUUUAUCCUUUGGUCAUCACAAGGCACCAUCUUAUGGCAAAGCUUCGAUUACCCGACCGACACUCUCCUUCCAGGUAUGAAGCUCAGGAUCACCCACAGGACGCAUGCACUACAACGGCUCAUCUCUUGGAGAAACCCCCAAGACCCAUCCCCGGGCAACUUCUCAUAUGGUGCAGACCCUGAUGAGUUUCUGCAGCGUUUUAUAUGGAAUGGCUCAACACCAUACCGGCGAAGUCCGGUAUGGAAUAAAUUUGUGGAAGUCGGGCAGUAUAUCGAGAGUAUCAAGUCCACGAUUUACUUUACACUACAACCUAUUGAUGAUGAGGUAUACAUUUCCUUUGGACUACCAGCACCAAGCGUCUCCUCGUUAGUGCUAAUGAAGAUGGACUGCUCAGGAAAGAUAAAGAUACGAACCUGGAAUAGCAACAUGUCCAAAUGGACUGACCUGCAGUCAGAACCUAACCAGGAAUGCAACAAAUUUGGUUACUGUGGUCCAUUUGGUUACUGUGACAACACGCAAUCUAUUGUAACAUGCAAGUGUCUUGAUGGCUUUGAGCCAAAUAAUAAACAAGACUGGACGGCCCGCAGGUUUUCGCAGGGAUGCCAACGAAUGGAAGCACUAAGAUGUGCUCAAGGGGAUGGCUUCUUAAAUGUGUCAACCAUGAAGGUUCCUGAUCAGUUCUUGUAUGUCAAGAAUAGAAGCUUAGAUGAAUGCAUAACAGAAUGCACAAGCAACUGCUCCUGCAUGGCAUAUGCUUACGCCAAUAUGGGCACCAAGGUUAUCAAUGGGGAUGAAACUAGGUGCCUAUUAUGGAUUGGAGAUUUGAUUGACACAGAGAAGCUCAUUGGAGAAGGGGAAAACCUCUACAUCCGGGUUAAUGGAUUCAAUGAUAAAAAGCAGAAGAGCGUUGUUUUAAAAAUUACACUGCCAGUCGUGUCAAGUUUGCUCAUAGUCAUAUGUGCGUGGCUUGUUUGGAUCUGCAACUUGGGAGGCAAACAAAAAAACAAGAAAAAUUGGAAGAAGGUGAUGUCAGGAACUUCGAGCACUUCUGUUGAACUUCACGAUGGAAACUUAAAGUAUCCUUUUAUAAGCUUCAAAGAAAUUGUACUUGCAACAAACAAUUUUUCUAACUCCAACAUGCUUGGACAUGGAGGUUUUGGCAAUGUUUACAAGGGGACAUUAGAAGAUGGUACAAAAAUUGCUGUGAAAAGGCUUAGUAAGGGUUCUGGCCAGGGGGUAAUGGAGUUCAGAAAUGAAGUAAUACUCAUUGCGAAGUUGCAGCACCAAAACUUGGUUAGACUUCUAGGUUUCUGCAUCCAUGGAGAUGAGAAACUAUUGAUAUAUGAAUACUUACCUAACAAAAGUCUAGACGCCAUGCUUUUUGAUGCCACAAGAAAAUCAAUGCUUGAUUGGCCGAUGAGAUUCGAGAUAAUCAAAGGGGUAGCUAGAGGACUUCUUUAUCUUCAUCAGGAUUCAAGGCUGAAGAUAAUUCACAGGGAUCUCAAAGCAAGCAACAUAUUAUUAGAUGCCGAAAUGAGCCCUAAGAUAUCUGAUUUUGGUAUGGCAAGGAUAUUUGGUGGCAAUCAGCAGCAAGAAAAUACCAACCGUGUCGUUGGCACAUACGGUUACAUGUCCCCUGAAUAUGUUUUGAAAGGAGUGUUUUCUGUCAAGUCUGAUGUAUAUAGCUUUGGAGUUUUACUACUGGAGAUUGUGAGUGGCUCAAAGAUCAGUUAUGUGCACCUAAAAGCAGACUUCAGCAGCAUUAUAGCCUAUGCAUGGAGCUUAUGGAAGGAUGGGAACACACAGGAUUUUGUUGACUCGUCAAUUGUGGGGAGCUGCUCACUUAAUGAAACUUCACGGUGCAUCCAUAUCGGACUCUUAUGUGUUCAAGGCAGCCCAAAUGCGCGGCCACUCGUGUCAUCAAUCGUGUCCUUCCUGGACAAUGGAGAUAUAUCACUUCCAACUCCAAAAGAGCCCAUGUAUUUUGCAGAAGAUAACUAUGGUACUGACGGAGCAGCAGAAAAUACUGCCAAGUCUGCAAAUAACAUGAGCAUUACAGUACUGGAGGGACGCUAG
rnacentral:rRNA from 1 species